rnacentral:lncRNA from 1 species
GUGACUGACACAGGCAGCACCCUUUUGCAGAAGUAGAUGUGCGUUGCUGAGAAAUUUUCUGCCUAAGUUCUGGUUUUCUUUGCAGCACCCAGCAUUUGUUUCUAACACAGGGAAAGAGUGAGCUGGAGAAACCUCUCAAAUUCAAGAAAGCGUAAAGCAAAUUGAACAAUACGGGUGAGGGUUGGGGAAAAGAAGCCCUCUGCACACCAGAAUUACCCAGAGACAUGGAACACUUAGCACUGCAUCAUAUGUUGGCCUUACAGAGGUCCUCCGUAUUCCAAUGUGAGGAAGGAAGUGGUGGUACAUUUGCAGAAGGCACUAAAUUAAGCGACUCUAAUGAACCAG